GACGAACGCUGGCGGCGUGCCUAAUACAUGCAAGUAGGACGCACAGUCUAUACCGUAGCUUGCUACACCAUAGGCUGUGAGUUGCGAACGGGUGGGUAACGCGUAGGUAACCUGCCUAUUAGAGGGGGAUAACUAUUGGAAACGAUAGCUAAUACCGCAUAACAGUAUGUAACACAUGUUAGAUGCUUGAAAGAUGCAAUUGCAUCGCUAGUAGAUGGACCUGCGUUGUAUUAGCUAGUAGGUAGGGUAAUGGCCUACCUAGGCGACGAUACAUAGCCGACCUGAGAGGGUGAUCGGCCACACUGGGACUGAGACACGGCCCAGACUCCUACGGGAGGCAGCAGUAGGGAAUCUUCGGCAAUGGGGGGAACCCUGACCGAGCAACGCCGCGUGAGUGAAGAAGGUUUUCGGAUCGUAAAGCUCUGUUGUUAAGGAAGAACGAGCGUGAGAAUGGAAAGUUCAUACUGUGACGGUACUUAACCAGAAAGGGACGGCUAACUACGUG
rnacentral:rRNA from 1 species